CCUGGGUGACGCUGUGAAGAUCGGUAAAAUAAAAACAAAUACACAAAGAAGAAACCCAUGGAACGGUUUUGGUAUGGAAAGUAUAAGAAUACAGGGAAAACGAAGCAUUUAUCUGAGAGAUCGGAAGAGCACAAGU